rnacentral:rRNA from 1 species
UACAGAGGUGCCAAGCGUUAGGCGGAAUCACUGGGCUUAAAGCGCGCGUAGGCGGCUCGGAAAGUCGGUCGUGAAAUGCCGGGGCUCAACCCCGGGACUGCGUCCGAUACUUCCGAGCUGGAGGCAGGUAGGGGAGAUCGGAAUUCCUGGUGUAGCGGUGAAAUGCGCAGAUAUCAGGAGGAACACCGGUGGCGAAGGCGGAUCUCUGGGCCUUGCCUGACGCUGAGGCGCGAAAGCUAGGGGAGCGAACAGG